GCGUCCGGAUGGCCCUGCCCCCAGCUGCCGAGGCUCCGCCCUCGCCCGGGACGCUCCGCCGCCACUUUUCCCCCACCCCCGGUGUGGCGCGCGGGGCCACUCUGACGUCAAUGCGCGGCUCGCUUCGCAGCCCCGUUGCGUCACUGCUGACGUCAAACCCUGCCCUUGCGCCCCUUAGUCCCGCGGGGUAGGGAAAGGGGGGAGCGCUGAACUACAUCUCCCAUGACCACCGUGGCCCGUGGGGCCCUCGGCAGCGGCGAUGGCGGGGCCGGAAAGGGCCGCCUGCACAGCUGGCACCCCUCAAGCUCUGAGGUGAUUCAGCCGGGCUCCUUCCUGAGGGCGACGCAGGGUGACCCUUCACAUCGCCGCCAGCAUCUCCCCUGCGCCGCGCCCGGCGGCUAAAAAUACUCCCCACAGAUAGCAACGCCUGGCGAUUUGCUGUCUGCCCGAGCGGCCGCCACUGAUUGGCCAGCGGGACGAGGGGGCGGAUCCAGGCCGGGUUUUGGCGGAACGGAGCUCCUCCCAUGUGGCGCAUAAUCAGCUGUAACUGAGUUUACAACCCUUCUGAGUUGUGAUGAAUCGCAAUGGCUUGAGACCAUGGAACUGAGAGUACCAGCACAUGGAUAACCUUGACUGUGGAGCAGCUGGAUAUCUGGUGACAAGACACCUCUGGGUUUUAACAUGGGCCCAGUAAAAGCUAUUUUCAGCCUAAAUGAUCUUUGAUACUGAAACUAGAGUUAACCUGGAUGGUGAGCAGAGGAGAUCAUCUGCUCUGAGAAAGAAACCAAGGGAGAAGGAGGUGGGAGAAGAGUGGGAAGAUAACAAAGGAGAGGGACUCUAUAGGGAGAGGCAUUAAUUUGGAAACAUGCAGUGAUGGAAAAAGGAACACAAGAAAAACUGCUGUUGCAUCUCCCUAUCACUCCCUCUCAGGUCCCUGUCCGUGCUCAACUGCCAGCCACACUUGUCAUUUGUAAUUCUCAACCUUCUUAAAUAGAUGGGACUAAGAAGCAAAAACUGACUCAAAGCAGCUCCUCUCACCUUUGCUAUUGCCAAUUUUAGUAAUAUUUGGUCAGUUUGGGUUGGUUGUUAAUAAUGACUUGAUUCUAAUUUCACCAUGUGCAGCAGUAACUUGUUAACAAGCUGCUCCAGGAGAUCUUUGUAGAACUGUGGAUACCAGGGAGAGGGAAUAAUUACAGUGUUUCCACCUAUGAUAGUCUGCUUCAGAGCAGGUGUAAAUAUAUCCAUAAGUGUUUGUUCACUUAAAAGUUCAGCCCAGCUGCUUUCUCAAUUUCCAGCAGCAGAAUCAAUGGAUAGGGGUUUUUCCUUAAAAAAUUAGGGCAAAUAUUAUCUACUAAAUAUCACCUUCCCUUCCCAGUAGACUGCAAGUAAUAUUGUAAAAGUUACAGAAUUUUUACCAAAACCAGAUGUUUGGUGUAUAAAAGUACAGGCAGUUUUUCAAACCAUUCUAUUUGUUUGGAAAGGGAAGGACAAUUAGAUCAGAAAACUCAAUUCAACUUCAAAACAGAGGAACUUAAUAAGGAAAAAAACGACGGAAAUUACAUUUCAUUCUCUUGGUGCAUCCAAAAAGCUCUGGACUGGUGCAUGCAAAGAGUAAUUCCCUUUGGAGCAGCACCACAAGCUUUGAGAAAGCAGUUGCUAAAGUGUCUGAAAGCAUCCUGUUUCUUGUCCUCUGCUCUCUGAAGAGCAGAUGGAGCACAACACAAUGGGGUGGAAUGGGGGUCCUCAGAUUAUGGGGACACUGAUCUGUGAGCUGGGCAGUGGAACACUUGCAUCCAGUUUGAGCAUCCCAGAAGUAAGCUAUCUGACUCAAAGAAGGUUUGGAAACCUCUCCUCAGGGCUCAGCACACCUUGAUGCAGGAGUAAGAAGAGUCCAGUGUGGGUGGCCUGGACCUCUCUCCAGGAGCAACACUCCCACAGCUCCAUCUACUCCUGGCUGGAACCUAAAGCCCUGCCAGCAUCCAUUUUUCCCUGCACCAAAUCGUUUAAAUAAACUUCUCCAGUGUGGGCUCAAAGAAAUGCAUCAUUUGUGUGGCUCCUUGGGAGCUCAGCUAAUGGACUGCCUGGGAGGACUUGCUGGGCAAAUGUGCUGCCUCUGGCUUCCCACACUGAAACCUCACCUUGCACUCCAUAACAGCCCAUCAGUGCAAUACCCUGCUUCUGCCUGUUGUUCAAGAUGCAGGUACCACAUUUAACCAAACAAUAGCUAAAAAACAAAAGACAUCUUAAGUGACUUGUGGUGUCUGCUGAGCACCAGCUGCCUUUUUUGUGUUUUACUGUGUCUUUGAUCCCGAUGCUCCAUGCUCAGAUCUCCUGGGUCCCAUUCAGCUGCAAAAGCCCAAAGGUACAGUGAGAGGAGCAAUCUAAUCUGCUAGGGAAAUAAAACAGUUGAUGACUCAUAAAAGCAAAAGGGACAGAUAUUUGAAAAGGAAAAUAGCAAAACAGAUUCACAUGUAAUUGUGAGUCCUAUCACAGGAGUGCCUGGAGAAGUAGUGAGUUCUGCCGCAUUCUUCCACUCAAGCCCUCAGCUAGCUUCAGUGGAGCCAGGACUCAAAACCUGUAGUUCCAGGUAGCCUUAAUAAAGCUUGGAUCUGAAUUAAACUACUCUUCUGCAUGCCUGGGGAUAUGGUGGCAUGUGGCAGCCUUGGCUGCUUCAGGCUUCCCUGGAGCAUGUGAAGGAACAUGUUCAUGAGUGACAGCCCAAAGCAGUGGGACAGACCUGUGUGCAGCCACAGGAGCUGGGGCUCUGCUGGAGUCUGAGAUAGCCUGAGGGACAAGGAGCUGUUCACAGGUUUCCCAUGGGGAGCUGAUGCCAAAAUCAACUCUUUUGAAGGCAGCAACAACAGCACAAGACCCUGGGCAGCACAGGGAUGCAUGUGUGGCUCUAGGAGAGGAGGAUGGAAGGCUGAGCCCACUCACCUGAACACCCACCUUCCCUCCUGGAGGGGCAGCAGGUGUUGUCAGUGGCUGCUCUUCAGGGGAAAAAGAACCCCAGACUGGCUUAGACACCCCUGUGAUGCAGAGGGGUGGGCUAUCAUCCCUGAAACAAAUGGGACCCCCUCAUAGCCCAGCUGUAGCACUUGGGGCUGUCUCCUCUGUGCUCCCUUCUGUCCCCAAGGCAGUGUAACGAGGCCAGUGGAAAUCUGAAAAAGAGAGAUUUCCUUUACUCAAGGAUUCCUAUUCAGAGCUACAGCUAUUGACAUAUUUUUUUCUAUUCCUGUGCUUGGCAGAAGUUGAUAGUAUUUAUUAAGCUGAUCUCAGGCACCAGAUCUGGAUCCUGACUCUUGAUACAGAGGCAAUCAUCAGAGCCUGUUGUGUUUGCAUGAAUGUACUAAUCCUGCCUCUGCUUCCUGAAUGCAUAAAGCAGUGUAUAGGACCGCUCAUCUCUAAGAGACUUGGAGAUGGCUGCAGAGGGUAAGACAAUGUUUUUAAUAUGGAGAACUCCGAGGCAAAGUAUUUGGUACCUCAGGAUUAUUAACAUUUUUGAAAGUCUGAGAAGCCACUAACAUUUAGAAGACAUUACAAUCAAGAUUAAUUCUCCCAAAUGGAGAAAGAGCUCCUGUUUUUCACAUACACUCUAGAUAUUGAUAAUUUUCUCAUUUUCUGAUAUAACAGGGCUUGGGGGUUUUUUCCCCACUGAGACAAGAUGACUGACAGAUGGAGAUAGGAAUUUCUCAUAAAGAGAAGCAAUGCAUUUUUACACAGCUGAGGCUGGAAGAAAGCAAUAAUUCUCCUAAUACACAGGCACAGCCCUCCAGAAUGCCUGAUUAUUUACUUCAAGAAUCAGUCAUCGCUGACCAGAAUGCCAGGCAUGUCUUCCCCAGCCAAGAUGUGAGCUGAGAUCAGUGCAAACAAAUCCUCACCCCUCUGGCCACCUCCUGUGCUGCUGUUGGGUGGUGAAGGCUGGUCCUGGGUGGUGAGGCUAGCCUGGGAUACCCUGACCAUGGUGGGUCAGACCAGCAGAGAUUCACCAACACCUCUGUCAUGGUGAGUCCAAGCCACUGUCACAGAGGUGGCACUUGGUACAGGCUUAGUUCAGUUCCAGGGUCAUUCUUAGCAAGCACUGGGGUGCUCGGAGAGCCCAGGCAACUUGGGGCAGGAGUUAGAGCUGCCACUGCAGAACCCAUCUGGAAUCUGUCUUAAAAAAAGACAAUAAAAAACACCAAAACCUCCUCAAAACAACAACAAUAAUAAAAAGAAAAAUCAAAACAAACAAACAAACAAAACUCCCACCAACCCCCCCAGAAGAAAGCCAGAGAAACUGCCUCCAACUCUUGGGCCAGGACAAAGCCUUGGAGCAGCAGGAGAGCAGGAGUGCCCAUUCUCAGCGUCAGCACCACUUCUGUCCCCCUAGAGCAGCUAAGCAGCUUUGCUUCCUGCAGGGAUCCUCUGGAACUGUCUGGCUUUUGCCAUGCUAGACCACAUCUUGCAGGGUUGUAGCGACUGUACUGGUACACACAAGCCAAAAUUUACACCCCUUUACCUGCUUUCCUCCCAGCCUCCUCUUUCAGCUGUUUUCCCCUCUCACUAUCUGCAUAUUCUGUUCUUCACUACUGUUCCUAACAGCUUCUAUCUAUGCCAAGUCCCAUCCUACUUAGCUCUCAUUAAACCUCCAACCUUGAGCAGAGCUUUUCUGCAUUAGUCUCCCAGCCAGCUUUUGUCUCUUUGACUUCUAGGUUCUCUUUGUUUGUGCUUUUCUCUCUGGUUCUGGGAAUUAUUCUGCUUCAGUUGAUGCAUGGAUCCAGGCCCUGAUAUUUUGUUGAACUCUGUGGGAUCUCUUCUGUUUGGCGGGUGCAGUGGUGGUACUGCUCCCAGCAUCAGCAGCACCCACACUGUUGCAAAGGCCUUGAAAGGCUGAUGUGUAUUUCAGGCAGUAGGAAGCUUAUCCUGUGCUAGACAUUGGCUUGAGAGAGACAUUAUCCCUGGAAGAUACCAGCUCCAGAGAGACAUUUUCUAUGGCAUCCCUGCCCAGGAAUAGAUCCUGACUUCAUCUAACAGAGGAACUGAUUGUACGGGACUGUGCUGCUCACUGGAGAAUGACACAGCCAGAGCGAGUGGCAUGGGGUCACCACUUGCAUGUUUUGUCCUUCUGAUGCCACAGAUCAGUAUCUCAAUAAAAAGCUUUGGAUCUGAGCAGCCCCUGCCGGUAGCAAGUGCUCCCCCUGCAGCACGACAGGUGCUGAAAUAUAUAUGCCAAGUGGAUCUUUUAUUUGGAAAACAAAUGGUAUUGACUAUCUAUAAAUGUCGGCUUAAAGUGAGGCAAAACUAGCAGGAAAAAAUGCCACCAUAGGUGAGUGAAGGUGCUUAGUGAGGCGUAGGGCAGCCCUGAAUUAUAGGGCAGCAGUGAGCAAGUGACUUAGCCUUUUCUUUUUUUGCCUCCUACUCAUUUAGUCUGGAAACAUAUCAGCAGGCACUUUGUCCUGUUAAAUGGUGAUAAAACCCUGGACUCAAUAGCUGAGAUCUGCUGUCUGCCAUCAUAGCAAUACAAAUAACAAUAAAAGAAACAAAAUAGAGGUGAGUCAGUCUGAUGUUCACUAGGAAAAACAUCAGUUAUCUUUGUUACUCACCAGCUCUCCUCCAGGGUAGUCUGCUGGCCAACAUUGAGGCUGCAGUUGUAGUGGGGCUGUAUUUUGCUCAGGUCCUCUUAAAAAAGUUUUUCCCUGAGGUUUUGGAGAGUUGGUGGUUGCAUAUCCACAUCAACAGGACCAUGAGUAUAAGCAGCCUUUUUGCAGAGUAAAAGCCUUUUAGCAACUGAGCCCAGUGGAGGCACAAGGCUGAAGAAACAACACAGCAUGGAGAGGCCACUGCCUAUGGUAGGACAGAUAAUCCUUGAGGCCCAGGUCUUCAUCUGGGGGGAAAAAAAACAGAGGAGGGAGGCUGGAGGGGGGCCACCCUGUCCCUGAGGCUGGCUGAGGUCACCCAUAAGCUCCUGAGCCGUGGCUUUGUCAUGCCCCGCAGAGCAUCAUCACAACAGCCCUGAUGCAUCCAAAGCACAGACAAGUGGCCAACUCCAGCUGGAAGUUGAUUCCUGCUAUUGAGAUUUGUAUUUAUUAAUUUGUAGCCCACUUGCUUUCUUUUGUCACUAUUUUUCUCUGCAAGUGAAAAAUUUCCCCUGAAUCACUGCAUGUUAUUUCCACUUGGCAAAUAAAGGUCAAUGAAAUACCAGUAACUGCAUCAGAAAUACAGCUCCAUAUCUAUCCAGGAUUUUAUAUGGCAAGUUGUAGUGCAUUGCCUGUUCUUAGAAAAGGCUGUGAUUAAAAAAAACUAAAACUGUCAGAGGUCAAGAAAUUCAUAGUUAGAGCAGCAUAGCCUCUGCCCUUCACUCCUCACAUCUUGCCUGCAAGACAAGGAAUAAAAAACCUCCUGGAACUGGCACAAACAAAUGUGGGAUGAGAUUUCCUCCAACACACAAGAUUCUGCAGGACUGUGGUAUCUAAACAGCAUUUUUGUUUGCAAAUGUUGCCUGUAUCUGGAUAGUGGUUACUUGGAUAUUUAUACACUAUGUAAAUAAUAUAUAAAUACAUAAAUACCAUAGAAUCAUAGAGCAUCUUGAGCUGGAAAAGACCAUCGAGUCCUAUAAAUAUAUAUAGAACUUAGAAGCAACAUGAUGCUGUAAUUGACAUAUAUCUGUCUUCAAAGAGAUUUACACCAGAGUCACAAAGAGAAUUUGACAUACUUGCUGCAAAGAGGUUUUCAUGCUUCAAACAUGAAACCACCAGGACUGGCUGAAGGACGCUCUGUGCCCAGGGACUGGGGAGCUGAUACCAAUUUUAAUGCUGCAAACACCUUUUCAAGAUCCACUGGCAGAGCCUCACUCCCCGAGUUAAACACUUGGAAACACAGAAGAUGGCCCUGUCCAGCAGCCAUUGGGGCACGUGAAGUUUCAGGAAGGAAGGGAGUAGCUGCUUUGCUUUCUUCCAAGGGAAGGCCAGCAAUGAGAUGAGUGUCAGGAACUACCAUUUGGGGUGAGUCAGGAGAUUGGCAUGGGGUGGUUUGCAUUAAUACCAGCUUGAACACAUGCCAGAGAGGAUUUCCAAAAUUCACAGCCAGUUAUUUCUUGUCGCAGAGUUGAGAGAUCCUGUAGCCUGUUCUUCCACUCUAAGGCAUGUGAUCAAAAGCCUGUGGAAAUUAUUCUGAGAAGGUUUGUUUUGUAAAUAUGUAUUUAAAAUCACGAAUACAGAUUACUGAGUUUGAAGAGAAUAAAAGCCAAACCAAAAACUUCUAACAGAGCAAACCCUCUCACAGAGGAUCUUCUCCCUUCUUGGAGGUGGAUUAAAAAGUACUGUUAUGAAAUUCCAGUGCAGAUUUUAUGAUGGGCUAAACCAAAAUGCUUUGGAGUUUUUGGAAUUCAGAUCUGAAGCUGAGUGUUUCAGCCCGUAUGAUCCAUAUAAAAGUAAGACAAAUGAAAGAAUUUACUUUUUCUUCCUUUUGAUAUGCAGAGAUUCAGAUGAAAUGCUUACUUUCCAAUUUGCUUUUUCAGUAGAAAUUGACUAGAGAUCCUAUCAACAUGAAAUACCCCAUGAAACCCAAGGAACUCCUGAAAUGAUGGAUGACAUCAAGAGCCAAAAGAACACAUACAAAGCAUCUGCAGAAAGAGAUCCUUAAUCACUCUGUGAAGCCUGUUGAUUUGUUGCCAACUACUUAACUUAAAGCUUGUGUUGUCAUAUAUCUAACUUGAAAGUUUAAUGAACCAGUUGGAGAAAGGAAAUCUCUGUUAAAAAGAGAUUAUGUCCCUUCAGCUGCAGUGUGAGCAAUAACACACUUUGUUGGAUGCUCUCAGCAAGUCCCUCAUUAAAACAGUAGCACCAGAUGAGAUCUAAUUUUCCUAAUAUUUGUAGACUACAAUGCAAGAAGGAAAAUAUUUGAGGUUUUCUGUAUUCCUGAAGAAUAAGUUAAAAAAACAACAACAACAAAACAGUGAAAACUGCUCCCCAGGUUAUGUGCUAGACCUCUUUUAUUUACAAGUAUUUUACUACUGAAAUUGAAUAUCAGUGUUAUUUAAUUUUUUAAAAAUUGCCCACUAGAUGGCUGUAAUUGUUAUGGCCAUGCUUAAUUUUUGGUAUCAAAUUCCCAUCUUUAAAAAAAUCUGUUCUUCCUUUUUGUUGUUCUUCAGCACAUGCUCUCAAUCUCCAAGGCAGCAUUUGCAACAAUGGGAUCCUCACCUUGGAAAUUUCAGCUGUUUAUAGGAAGUUUAGUUGUUCAAAAUGGCCACUGCAAUGGGCUUGUAUAACAUCUAAGGCACAGAAAUCCACUGCCAUUUUGAAGGAUAAAGUGGGAAUUCAUUUUUCAUUAUUGAAAGAAAUACUUUAUUUUCUGCUAUUACAAGGAAUGAUCAAAGACUUGGAGCCCUUUGGAAAGCAUUUCCAAUGGCGUGGCAUUUAAUGCGAGCAGCUUGUGAUUACUGUUGGAGCACAAAACCAUUGUGAAUCUGAUGAAGGAGAGCCCAGAAGGCAGGAUUGAGCAUCUCCUGUGUCCUAGAUUCAGCAGAGGAGCUGAUGUGAAAAAGAAGCAGGAUCUGCUGGAAGGAAAGCUUAAAUUAUGUAUCACAGGAAAUAAAAUUUCCCUGCUGUUUGCACAGACUCUAGUCCAGGAGCAGCAGUUCAUCUGGGUAGAGGAUUUGCAAAGUGUUUGCUAGCUGUGGUUCCUCCUGCAGUUUUCCUGAAGAUCCACCCAAAGGGAAUAGGCUCAGGUGGAAGACUUUCCCCAUUCAGCCAGGGAGCAGGGCACCGAUGCUUCUUCUGAACAGAAGUGCCUGAAUAUAAAGAUCUACAUAUCUUUGGCAGCUCUUGACUGCAACAUAUGAAAAGGGAACUGCCUGUCUACAAGUUUUAAGCAGCAUGCAGAGACAUUUGUAGGACUUCUCCACCAAGCAUGAGCCAGUACAGAAUCAUCCAUUGCUGCAGACCCUUGGGCAUGGUGCGUGGUCCUGCCAGCAGCACAUAAAUCUGCCUUUAAUGGGAAUGACUUCAUUUCUAUUGAGGAGUUUUCCCACCAGUUCAGCACUGCACCAAAGGGGUUAUCAGGGGCCAUCAGGUUUCAUAAGACUUAAGUGCAACUUCAUUAAGUGUCUUUGAGAGAUGGUUUGCUCAUCUGGAGCAAGAACAGCUUGGUCAGGGAUGUGAGCCUGUGGCUCACCUAAAAAAACCCCUCAGCACAGCACUGAGCUCUGCGGAUCAUCUGGAAAGAGAAAAGAAAGAGAAGAGAAGAGAAAAGAGAAGAGAAGAGAAGAGAAGAGAAGAGAAGAGAAGAGAAGAGAAGAGAAGAGAAGAGAAGAGAAGAGAAGAGAAGAGAAGAGAAGAGAAGAGAAGAGAAGAGAAGAGAAGAGAAGAGAAGAGAAGAGAAGAGAAGAGAGAGAGCACCUCUGGCAAAGGAAGUGCUGUGAUAAGAUUUGAUUCAGAGAAAUUCAGGACUGCUGUAGUGCACUGGUUUAAUACCAGUCAAGUAGAUAAUUUCACUUAUUGCUCGCUCUUCCAAAAAUAUCACACCGAGGUGCGCAGAGGGCCCAGCUGCAGUCAGACUAGAGCAUCCCCCUACUCCAUCUGGAUUUCUUCCUAAUUCAGUAGAACUGAGCCCUCUUUCUAUGUAAACACAAGUAGAUUCAUGCCAGCACAUGAGUCCCAUAUGCUGUGGGUUUGUCAGCCAGAGGUUGGGCACGGUCCCUGCCCUUCCAGAUCAGCUCCAGGUAUUGUCCCACACAUACCUCGACUCAGCUGUCUUAUCAUGGUGGGUGUGGGGUCUGGUUUGCCUUCAGUCUUUUCCUGGUGCAUGCAAAUCCAGGCUACCUGGAUAUAUAAAUCAAGUUCAUUGUCAUGCUAGCUGAACACCUUAUAAAGGUAUGUUAUCAAGAAAGAAUAAUGAGAUUUCAAAUUCCCCUAAGUCGUAAAUAAAGACAAAGUGCUCAUGCAAAAUAUCCCUCAUUCUAAAUGGUCUUUACUUCUAAGUCUUCUCCAUACACAAAACAGGGUUAAGUCAACACUGAGACAAACGGAGGAAAAGAAUUAAGUACUCCUCAGGAAGAUGCACAUCUGUUUUCCCCACUUGACCUAUUCCCUUCAAAGACAUUCAUAUCAUCAUCCUGUGAAAAAAUCUGAAUAAGUCCCUGGAACUCAAGACAUUUCUUUGAGAUCCUCUGACUUGCUGAUUUUUCUGUCUUUUUUUGUCUACUGUGAAUCUUGCUGAACAGGUUGAACGAAAAUGAUCUUCUUGCAAACAUUCUGCAAAUAGAUCAAUGCCAUAUUCUGUAUCAAACACCCUACCUGGAGCCCAUUUAAUAAAUGGAUGUCUUUGCUAUGAAAUUACAAACCAGAACUUCAUGUGGCAUCAUACCCAUAUAGAUUUGAAAUCAUUCCACUCUCAGCAGAGUUUUCAGCAUUGUAAUAAGAGCAGUAUAAAUAGCCACAGUCUGUGAGCAUUGUAAAGAACAGGGAUUAAGGUCAGCAGCCACACUGCAGUCGUUGGCCUUUGAAGACUGUCUGGAGCAGACUACAGAAGGUGCAGGGUACCUGGGGCUCCCAUUCAACUGUAAUGGGGUUGUGGAUGCCUUGUAUUUCUUGAUAAUCACUCUGGAGGGAUUUGAACAAGAAACAUAUGUGUGGAAACCUGCAAGAUACUUUUGAAUAACAGAAGCUCUCUUGCAGAGAGGACAAGGCUGGUUCGAGACCACAGCACCUGCUCCUGCAUAGAGCAAAGUUCCCUCCUUGCUCCAUGUUGUCCCGGUAGAGCACAGCUUCCCACCAGCUCACCUACUUAAAGGAAACUCCACAGGAGUUUGCUGGGUAAACAACAAGUCAGCCCGGAGAUAUCAGCCCUGGAGAGAAAUAGAGGAAGAGCUGCAGUGGGCAGUCCUCACCUCAUGUGACUCACCCCAAGAAGGUGUUUGGGUAUUUAGUAUUUUUAAAGCUGACAGAGAGAGCAGGUUAAAUUAGGUACAAAGAAGAAAUUCUUCCAAGUGAGGCUUGUGAUGUCCUGGCAUGGAUUGCCCAGAGAAGUUGUGGCUGCUCCAUCCCUGAAUUAUCUGGGACCAGCGGAGAACAUGAUGACAAUGUUUAUGGACAUGUCCCUUACUAAUGAUGUCCAAAGGUGGCCUGAUUACUCACCCCUCUGCAGAUGAGCUCCAGGUAUUACACACUUGACAGGUGGUGCUCUGAGGAAGUCUGGAACCUGAUUUACUUGACUUCCACUGGAUCACUGAUGGGCUCUUGACACCUCAAGCAAUCAGGUUUCAGGUGUCCCAAAGCAUGUACCUCAAACUCAAGGUACUCAACUUGUGACACUUGCAGAAAGAUAACUCCUUAACCCAGCAGAACUUUGAGAUCUGAAGAAAAACAUCACACUCAUCUACUAUGCUGGGAACCAGCACUGAGUAAAAACCUGAGUAAAGAUGAGGAUGAGAGGAGACAAGUAUUUUAUUUUUAAACCUUAUGAAUUUCUGAGUAGUUCUGCUUUCCUAGAGAGGAAGGCAGGGUUGGGAAGAUCAGAUGUUCAAACUCUGCUCCCUCCCUGAUAACACACUAAAGACUUGUAUUACCUUUAAU